rfam:Schistosoma curassoni strain Dakar, Senegal genome assembly, scaffold: SCTD_scaffold0012511
AUCGAAGUGACGAGUCACAAAUAGGACGAAACGCGCGUCCUUGAU